rnacentral:rRNA from 1 species
CAGCAGCCACGGUAAUACGGAGGGAGCUAGCGUUGUUCGGAAUCACUGGGCGUAAAGCGCACGUAGGCGGCUAUUCAAGUCAGGGGUGAAAGCCCGGGGCUCAACCCCGGAACUGCCUUUGAAACUAGAUAGCUUGAAUCUUGGAGAGGCGAGUGGAAUUCCGAGUGUAGAGGUGAAAUUCGUAGAUAUUCGGAAGAACACCAGUGGCGAAGGCGACUCGCUGGACAAGUAUUGACGCUGAGGUGCGAAAGCGUGGGGAGCAAACAGGAUUAGAUACCCCUGUAGUCCCUGUCUCUUAUAC